GUAGUGCUGGGCUGGUGGGGAGGUAGUGCUGGGCUGGUGGGGAGGUAGUGCUGGUGAUAUGUGAUCAUAUAACAGAGCUGAGUGACUCGGUGAAUAGAGAGGAGAGGGCUUAGAACUUAGCCCUGGGGGACUCCAGUAAUGAGAGUACGUGGUGCAGACACAGAUCGUCUCCACGUCACCUGGUAGGAGAGACCUGCCAGGUGUCAUGUAAUCCAGGAGUGUGCAGAGCCUGAGGCGCCCAAACCUCUUCAACCAUGCAGUGAAGGGUAGCAAACAUGAUUUGCUUUCUUCGUCAUGAAAUUAUCAACUUUACCCUUUAAAUUAAAAAUUAAAAAAUGAGCCGUUUGGGUUUUGUGGUCAGGCCAAGUGUUUUGAGAGUCACCCGGAAGAUAGCCGUGGACUAAUUUUGUCAUUUAGGUUAGGACAUCUCUUAAAGGGUCGGACAUCUCUUAAAGGGUCGGACAUCUCUAAAAGGGUCGGACAUCUCUAAAAGGGUCGGACAUCUCUAAAAGGGUCGGACAUCUCUAAAAGGGUCGGACAUCUCUAAAAGGGUCGGACAUCUCUAAAAGGGUCGGACAUCUCUAAAAGGGUCGACAUCUCUAAAAGGGUCGGACAUCUCUAAAAGGGUCGGACAUCUCUUAAAGGGUAGGACUGGUGGCUCAGUGAAAGACUUGGCUUAGUAGCGUAUCACUUUGGAUGAUUUCCCCCAAUUAUUUUUAAUUAUUCUUUUUUAGAAUGUUUUCUGGUUCUGUGAUAUAUUAUCUAACACAUGUGUCGUCCCGGCUCUUAUAACUGCAUCUUUCAGGAUCUGAGCGCCGUAACAGCGAUUCUCCAAUUCAGCAGAUUUGACACCGUGGUCUUGUUUCUUGAUCGCAAAUUCUGUGGGCUCUUUGGAAUUGGCCAUUUUGAAAUGUUCUCUUUUAGCCUUUUUGGGGGGGGGUGAAAGCUGUCUUGCCCUCAGGAUGGUAUUCCCAUCUGUAGGCUUCCUAAGGAUUGAUGUCAUUUUUAGUGAUCUCAAGGUCCCAAAAAUAUGUGUAGUUGUCCUUGCUGUACUCCAUAGUUUGCUGUUAUGGUUAAUUCUGUUAUGGUAUUGGUGGAAGGAAAAAGGAAAUAAACGCAUCUUCUCAGCCAGAUCAGAACAGGCAAACUUUAAUAUAGCGUCUCCACCACCAUAUAAUCCUGUCGAAUAACUGUUGUUUCCAAAGGAUCCAAAAUGAAGUCAUUUUCCCAUUUCCUUAAGUAGAAACCAGCUUAAGAAGAGCUGUAAGCAAGCUCCCAGUUAAGUAGAAACCAGCUUAAGUAGAAACCAGCUUAAGAAGGGCUGUAAGCAAGCUCCCAGUUAAGUAGAAACCAGCUUAAGAAGGGCUGUAAGCAAGCUCCCAGUUAAGUAGAAACCAGCUUAAGAAGGGCUGUAAGCAAGCUCCCAGUUAAGUAGAAACCAGCUUAAGGGCUGUAAGCAAGCUCCCAGUUAAGUAGAAACCAGCUUAAG